rnacentral:lncRNA from 1 species
AAGACUUUAUAAAACAUUAUUUUUAUUUCUAAAACUGAAGUUUAUUACAUAGAAAGAGUUACAUUUAUUACAAGUCCUGAUAUACUCAAAGUGCAAAACUUAUUACAAUAGCAGGAAGGUAGGAACCCUCCAAAGCUUAUACACAAGCCUAACUAAUCCUACUCUAGAACUAGAAACACCCUCCAGCCUCAGGAACACCUCGAGUACUUCUUAUCACCUGCAAUAACAUGGGUUCGAAAACCUUGAGUACGGAGUGUACUUUCGCAAGUCUUACCUAACUAAGGAAAAAUGACUCUCAAGGAUAUGCUGGUUAAAUAGGAAUCAAGGAAAGGCUUGAGCAAGAAUCAACUUAGAUACUUUUGCAGAAAUAGCUUACUAAAGUGAGUCCUUACUUUCAAUAUUUUAACACCGGAUUAAAUAUUAAUAGACUCUAGUUGCAUGUAGUCUAAUUUCACCAUCUCAUCAAUACAACAUUAUUUUUAUUCAUAAUGUUUACAUCCUGACCUAGGUUGCAGGUCAGAGAUCAAGUCUCCACUGUCCGAGGAUAUAAUAGCGAUCCGAAUCGAUUUACUCAGCUGAGGAUCUCUAACCACAUGACAUAUGUUUCUCGUAACUCUUGCAUAUGUCUACCAUUCCCACGGAUCCUCCACUGCAUGAAUAGGUUCGCACCACCCGAGAGCACACCACCCCUUUUAGGCGGUACUUUGCCAGGAGGGUACGUGCCACUCUCACCAUCUAUCCACUCCCAGUGCCCAAUUGUCUUUUCAUGUAUGGAAUAGCCGGGUUCAAGCUUACCUUGUCCCAUAUCCAGGGCAUGUGGCCAGUUAAGAUAGUCCUUGAUCAUACAUGCCUACAUACGCAUCCAAUCCUUAAUUAACCUGGGUGGAGCAUCACCUAUUCCUAGCCCAAAUCUCGAGUUAAGUACUUCCACCCUUAGGAUUGCUUUGUGUUCCUUAGGAUGAAUAGAGCAUUAUGGAGAACUUUGCAGUAAGAUCCCACCAUGCUCCUGAUGAAAAUAUUCUUGCAGGUAGAGGCCAUCCUUUCUCAGGAUAACCCCUGAGCUAGGCAUUAUUGCAAAAGAAAACCUCUAUCGACAAGAUCUAAGCUGGGCUAAGCAUUUUUGUAAACAAUAUUUGAUACUUCCGAAGAAGUAUCUAUAAUAGGAAUGGAUAUCAAGGUAGGCAAUGCAUCCAAUAGUUUCCAAGCAAUUCCUAUAAACUUAACGCGCAUUUUACUAGACUUAAAGUGUAUAAAAAUCUUUUAAAAAUACAAGGAAGGGGCAAAUGCAUCGGGGCUUGCCUUUGUUGCAGAGACGGAAUUCUAGAUCCCUCUAUCCAAUACCCAGUUAGCUGGCUCCUUCACUUAUCAGCAGCCACUGGAGUAGACUCCUCCUUUCAACACCACUUCAUCUGGAGUCUUCACCCUUAUGUUGGGAGCUCUACAUGAAAUGACAUGAUCAUGGAUGCUUAUGCAGUUGCAAAGAAGAUAACAUUAAGUACCUAUAACUACACCAAAACCCAGAGUUCACUAGGUAAUCUUGUUUCUUCAUCCACAAACCAAACUUCUCUUAGUGAACUUGCCUCUACUCCCAAAAUACUAAUCCAUCCUUAAACCAAGGACUUUUCUUAUUCUAUUUUGCACCUUACAAGGUUUUCUGAGCAAAUGGCUUCCAAACAACCCCAAACUUUUAACAAGUGCCAAUAUCCUUAUAAAAAAGUCUCUCCAAAAAUUUUCAUAAUUUUUGGCGUUAUAUUCUUAUCUCUAAAAUUCAAAUAGGCCUUCCAAGAGCACUAUUUAAUCGCCUACAAUUUGGUAACUGCCCUAAAAAUCUUAAAACCAACUCUAAUAGGAAGCUCCUGAUUUUAGAUACCCAAAACAAUUGGUCUCACUAUUUGGGAUGCAAUUCUCGGGUGAGGGAAGGCUUCGCUCGCUCGCUCAAAAAGCUCUAACGCUCGUUUACGAGUGGAGUGCAUAAGCCCUUAUUGAAGUAGGGCGAGGCCUUACUACACGAGCUCGUAAGUAAAGCACGGAACGAGCCUUGUCUACGAAGCUUCGCUUCAUCAUCUUGCUUGCUUCUGCCGAAGCUUAACGCACUAUAACAUAGGCAUGCAUGAUGGUAUGGUAGGAAGACUCCUUUUAAGGCCGACCACUACAUAGGAGCGAUAGGAAGCCAAGCCGUCAAAAGGAAAGGCGAGCAGCCCUUAUUGCAAUAGCAAACGGCCUACUUAUAGCCCUAUUUAUACCCUUUAUCGGGGACGGGCCUUACAAGCUCAAUAAAUUGCAAUUCUUCACCUUUUCCUCAGACAGUGGGAAUGAAUUUUCUUACUUGAUUGACAUUGACAGAUAUGUGUACCACACCGAACAAGCAAUAUGUCAUAUGCUUGAUGUACCAGCCAAGCCAGCUCUUUUUUCAGCACAAUUUACAAGUUUGUUGAUAAAAGAAAAGGCGAAAUAGGUACAGUACUAAGUCGAAACCUAGCAUAGCCGGCCCAGCAGCAGGCAGCGCCGGCCCACAUCGGACAGCCUGCGCCCGCACCAGCAGUUUUGCAGAAAUGACCCGGCGCUCUAACUGAAUUAACCCGAGCUCUCUCCACUGUUUCAUUGUCUCGCUGACCUCUACACUUAAGACCCUCGGUUUUCUCCCUUUCCCAAAAUGUCAGCCACGACGUCACCGCCCGCUCCGGCGACCUGGCGCCCACGACCACGGCGACGCUGACUGCUGGCACUUUAUAACCUCUGCUGACACGUGUUUGCGUUCACAGUGAGUUAGCCCCAAGGCUUAAACGCCUGAGCCGCACACCAGUCUCCACUGGCCACGACGCCGGCAACACACAUGGCUUGCCGAGUCCGAUCCCAAGGUGCCCCAUAGAAGAGUUUAAGCUAAGGGCUCAGAAAGCAUUACUCACCAUCCAAGAUUCCUAUGCUCGCGUGAAGUUGCUUGGAGAAAACACAGGUUGUUCGGUCCUUGGUGAAGCUGCCCACGGCUCCGGUACGCGGUGGCUCGGUCAUGUUCCAGGCACCACAAAGUAGUAGAAUUGGAAAUAACAACACUGUGUGUUUCACUGGUGAAUGGAGAGUAUAGAACAGGCACAACCCGGACAAACACCUGUUUGCGUUGAUCUGGCCAAGGCGAGGUGGGCAAAUCUGGUGCUACGGUCACCACUGGUAGACCAUCACAUGCAAACUCUAGGACUAGGCAGACUUAGCGGCUGGGGAGAGGAGCUUUGGCUUGCAACAUAGUCCAUAGAGACACCAAAGAAGCAAGCUAGAACUCGAGGACCACAAGGCUUCACUGGAUCAACACUUAAGUAGAGGAUAGGGACCAAGAUAAAGUUCACUGUACUUGCUCAUGUGUGGUGGAGAGGAACUCUGAGAGUGCCAGCGUAACAGGGACUCAAAGACGUGGCUCCCAUGCACUACUACCUU